rnacentral:rRNA from 1 species
ACUCCUACGGGAGGCAGCAGUGGGGAAUAUUGCACAAUGGGCGCAAGCCUGAUGCAGCCAUGCCGCGUGUAUGAAGAAGGCCUUCGGGUUGUAAAGUACUUUCAGCAGUGAGGAAGGUGGGUAUGUUAAUAGCAUACUCAUUUGACGUUAGCUGCAGAAGAAACACCGGCUAACUCCGUGCCAGCAGCCGCGGUAAUACGGAGGGUGCGAGCGUUAAUCGGAAUUACUGGGCGUAAAGCGCAUGCAGGUGGUUUGUUAAGUCAGAUGUGAAAGCCCGGGGCUCAACCUCGGAAUUGCAUUUGAAACUGGCAAACUAGAGUACUGUAGAGGGGGGUAGAAUUUCAGGUGUAGCGGUGAAAUGCGUAGAGAUCUGAAGGAAUACCGGUGGCGAAGGCGGCCCCCUGGACAGAUACUGACACUCAGAUGCGAAAGCGUGGGGAGCAAACAGGAUUAGAUACCCCGGUAGGCUCUGC